AUUAGCCAUGCAUGUCUCAGUGCAAGCCGUAUUAAGGCGAUACCGCGAAUGGCUCAAUAUAUCAGUUUUGGUUCCUUAGAUCUUACUCAGUUACUUGGAUAACUGUGGUAAUUCUAGAGCUAAUACAUGCAAUCAGAACUCUGACCAGUGAUGGGAUGAGUGCUUUUAUUAGAUCAAAACCAAUCGACGGAGGGCUUCGCGUCUGAAGUCGUUAAUUUUGAUGAAUCUGGAUAACUUAUGUCGAUCGCAUGGUCCAGCACCGGCGACGCAUCUUUCAAAUGUCUGCCUUAUCAACUUUCGAUGGUAGUUUCUGCGACUACCAUGGUUGUCACGGGUAACGGGGAAUCAGGGUUCGAUUCCGGAGAGGGAGCCUGAGAAACGGCUACCACAUCCAAGGAAGGCAGCAGGCGCGCAAAUUACCCACUCCCGGCACGGGGAGGUAGUGACGAAAAAUAACGAUACGGGACUCUUACGAGGCCUCGUAAUCGGAAUGAGUACACUUUAAAUAUUUUAACGAGGAACAAUUGGAGGGCAAGUCUGGUGCCAGCAGCCGCGGUAAUUCCAGCUCCAAUAGCGUAUACUAAAAUUGUUGCGGUUAAAAAGCUCGUAGUUGCAUUUGUGCGCCGCGCUGUCGGUGCACCGCAUCCGCGGUGAUACUGACACGUCUGCGGAGCAUAUCGUCGGUGAGCCGGCGGUAAUACGCCGGUUCAAUAUCAAAAUCCUAUCGCGGUGCUCUUCGGUGAGUGUCGAGGUGGGCCGACAAUUUUACUUUGAACAAAUUAGAGUGCUCAAAGCGGGCUCAAAAUGCUGCUUGAAUAUUUCGUGCAUGGAAUAAUAGAAUAUGAUCUCGGUUCUAUUUUGUUGGUUUUCAGAACUCCGAGGUAAUGAUUAAUAGGGAUAACUGGGGGGCAUUCGUAUUGCGACGUUAGAGGUGAAAUUCUUGGAUCGUCGCAAGACGAACAUCAGCGAAAGCAUUUGCCAAAGGUGUUUUCAUCAAUCAAGAACGAAAGUUAGAGGUU
rnacentral:rRNA from 1 species